CCUACGGGUGGCAGCAGUGAGGAAUAUUGGUCAAUGGACGAGAGUCUGAACCAGCCAAGUAGCGUGAAGGAUGACUGCCCUAUGGGUUGUAAACUUCUUUUAUAUGGGAAUAAAAUGUUCCACGUGUGGGAUUUUGUAUGUACCAUAUGAAUAAGGAUAGGCUAACUCUGUGCCAGCAGCCGCGGUAAUACGGAGGAUCCGAGCGUUAUCCGGAUUUAUUGGGUUUAAAGGGAGCGUAGGUUGAUUGUUAAGUCAGUUGUGAAAGUUUGCGGCUCAACCGUAAAAUUGCAGUUGAAACUGGCAGUCUUGAGUACAGUAGAGGUGGGCGGAAUUCGUGGUGUAGCGGUGAAAUGCUUAGAUAUCACGAAGAACUCCGAUUGCGAAGGCAGUUCACUGGACUGCAACUGACACUGAGGCUCGAAAGUGUGGGUAUCAAACAGGAUUAGAUACCCCAGUAGUC
rnacentral:rRNA from 1 species